GCCAGCACGGCAUAGUGGUUUACGUGUCGGACUGCAACUCUGGAGACCAGGGUUCGAUUCCCAGCUGGGA